rnacentral:rRNA from 1 species
UACGGAGGGUGCAAGCGUUAUCCGGAUUCACUGGGUUUAAAGGGUGCGUAGGCGGACAGGUAAGUCAGUGGUGAAAUCUCUGGGCUUAACCCAGAAACUGCCGUUGAUACUAUUUGUCUUGAAUAUCCUGGAGGUAGGCGGAAUAUGUCAUGUAGCGGUGAAAUGCUUAGAUAUGACAUAGAACGCCGAUAGCGAAGGCAGCUUACUACAGGAUGAUUGACGCUGAGGCACGAAAGCGUGGGGAGCAAACAGG